GUUGAAUCAUCGUUUAAUUCCUCAGAUACUCCGUUAUGCUGCGUAUUUGUCUCAUUGAUGCAGUUUCGUUUUAAAAGUGGAGUUUUAAUUUCUACUGUAAGGAAAAAUGUACAUAAGCUUGAAAGAGUACAGAGAAAAUUUACAAUGAUGUUGCCAGGUGUGGAGGACUUUAUUCAUUGGAAUACAGAAGACUGAAAGAUUUGAUAGAGAGCUGUGCCAUACAGCCGGGUGCUGGUGAAUGAGGUGUACUUGGAGGCAAUGGAUGUCUAGAAAAACAAAUAUUGAACAACGAACAUCCGAGACUUUUGGAAGUUAAAGCGCAGUCCAAUAACAACAAGGGAAUCCAAAAAGUCCUCCUUUUGCUACUAAGAAAUGAUGGUCAGCAUUACUCAGGCAACAUUUUCACCUUGUGUAAUAAAUGAGAGCAAAGAGAGAGGGAGUGGGAAGGCUGGGUAGAAAUGUAAUGGAAAACUGCUAGUACCUGUUGCAUGUGUCCAAUAAC